CCGCACAAUCCUCCUCUCCACCUCUCGCACAAUCGCUAACGUGCAGGCCAUCGCCACCUCCUCCAUCUACUGCUCACCCAGACAUCUCCCUGGCUCUCAAAUCUCUCCUCUUACACCCAUCAACGAUGUCAUGGUAGUUCAAAUUUGAAUCAAGUUCGGAGAUAUUUUCUUUGAUGGGCUUCGUGCACUGGACGGCGGACCCCGUAGGACAAGGUAGGAUGGUUGUUUUCGUUCAUCACUAAGACCUAGGAGGAAGAAGGGGAAACAAAGAGGAUCAGGUUGUGGGCUGUAGGACUGGUGGUUGGCUCGGGUGCAGCCAUCAAGAAGAUGGACAGGAAAGGCUGGAGAGACAAAGGGGCUGGGGGCAGGUACAGAUUUAUUUUUCUGAAUUUAUGAAUGUCUUAUAGUGCACUCUGAAUUUCUAUCAAUUACAGGUCUUCAAUUCUUAGUACUCUUCUGCUGCUAUGAUUUGUGAAACACAUAUUUGACUUAAAAUUUGUCCAUCGUCUGCCACUAUUCGUGCUAUGGAUGCUUAUACCUCCGUAGAAAAUCUUCUUCCAUGAUCUCCUUGGUGUUUCAGUUCAUUUAUCAAUGUUCAGCGGGCAAUACAUUUUGUGAGAUCUGCAGCUUACUCAAGGAUGACGACUCCACCAUUAUUCUAACCUUCUUGGAGUGCUCUUUGCAUACAUGGAGUGUUCGGAAGGUCGAGAAGACUGCACCUUAGUAUAGUAUUUAUUCAAAGCCACAAGGAAGAUCGGAAAUAAUGCCCAAGUUAAGCUCUUGGUAGUUCUUUCUCAUACUUAUUCCACUUGGUUAUCUUAGUGCCAUCCCUUUGCUAAAUUGAUGUACUAAGUAAUAAAGAACAUAUGCGAGUUGAUUUUUGUACAUUUUACGUAUUCUGUACAGUGUUGGAACUCGCUUAGUAAGAGCUGCUAUGUACUUAAGAUCUGAUUAGUAUCACCAACAAACUUCCAAAAAAAUUAUGUACAUACUGACUGAUCCCAUGAUCCUAAACUGUAUGUUGUUGUAGUUGAUAUCUAUGCUAUACAUACAUGUGCAGACUUUUUUUUGACAUCUAUGCUAUACAUACAUGUACAGACUUUACUAGACACACAUGACGAGCAGAUAAAGUUUAGUAUCUAUUUCUUUAUUUAAGCAGAAUAUAUGGCCAUGCUUGCAUCUAUUAUCAUUUCCAUAUAAUUGAAAGAAUCAUGUUAUAUGAUCUAAUACCUUAUAGAUUAAUGUAAGGGAGGAGCAUAUGUCCUGAUUAAUUCUGAUAAUAUUCCAUCACCAAUGUCUUUCUUUUGCAGUGAUAAUUAUGAAGAGAUCCUUGGUAUAUACACUUUGUAUGCUCUCAAGUUUAUGGUGCAUUUAGUAACAAUUUAUUUUUUUGAAAUCAUUAAAAGCACAGUUGGGGAGUCAUGAAUUUGUCAUUCUGGAAAUCUUUUAAGUAGCAUACUUGGCUCAAUUUGCGGAAAACAGUUGAUUAUUUAUGGCAUCCCUAUUCUUUUCUAUUUUUAGAGGAGGUCAAUUCAGUAAUGGAUGGACUAAUAUGAUAUCGUAAACAAUGUAA